rnacentral:tRNA from 1 species
GGGAAUGUGGCUUAGUGGUAGAGUGCUUGUCUAGCAUACAUGAAGCCCUGGGUUCAAUUCCUCAGUACCU